GUAAUUGCCAUGUCCUUUAGCGUCCUUUGUUUUUCUCCCUCUCUCCAAAGCAUGAAUCUCUUUAUUAAAGGGUAAAAUACUACAUUCUUUACUUGAACCAAACAACUUUUAAUUAACCUCAAAUAUCUUUAAUCAAAAGAGUAAAGUAAACCUUUAUUCUUCCUUUAAUUUGCUUUCUCUUCCUUUAAUCUCUUCUAACAGCAACUAAUCCAAUUAUUAUAAGCUUAAUUAAUCAAAAUGGGCAAAUGUUUUAGCUUUGCAUCAUCAAUAGAUUCCUGCUACAGAUACUCCUUUGAAAGAGCAGGAUUAAAAUCAAUCACAACAAAUUUAGGAGAAGGUACAACAAUGCAUUGUUGGGCACCCAAAAACAACAAACAAAACAAACCAAAUCUAGUCUUAUUACAUGGAAUUGGGGCAAAUGCUAUGUGGCAAUGGGAUUACUUUAUAUCUCCAUUAAUCCCAAAAUUUAACGUUUAUGUCCCUGAUCUUGUCUUCUUUGGCGAGUCUUACACGACUCGGUCCGAACGAACCGAGUCGUUUCAAGCACAGUGUGUGAUGAAGAUGAUGGAGAAAUUAGGAGUAAAGAAAAUGAGUGUUUGUGGAGUGAGUUAUGGUGGGUUUGUGGCUUAUAGUAUGACAGCUCAAUUUGCUGAUGCUAUAGAGAAAUUGGUGUUGGUUUGUUCAGGGAUUUGUUUGGAAGAGAAAGAUAUGGAAGAUGGGAUGUUUAAAGUUUCUAAUCUUGAUGAUGCUGCUGAUAUUUUGUUGCCUCAAACUCCUGCUAAAUUGAAAGAAUUGUUGAAAUUUGCGUUUUAUAAGCCUAACAAGUUUGUUCCUUCUUGCUUCCUUCAAGAUUUUAUUCAAGUGUUGUGCGCUGAACAUCGUGAGGAGAGAAAACAGUUGAUACAAGCCUUGCACAAGGAUAGGAAACUCGCUAACCUUCCUAAGAUAAAUCAGAACACAUUAAUAAUAUGGGGGGAACAUGAUCAAAUAUUUCCUACAGAGCUUGCUCACAGAUUAAAACGGCAUAUUGGUGAUAGCGCCAAACUAGUGUUCAUAAAGAAAGCAGGGCACGCCCUUAACAUAGAGAAGCCCAAAGCUAUGUACAAGGAGAUGAAGGCUUUUCUCUUGAAUGCAGAUGUCAAACCUCAAUCUAAUGGAAACACCAAAUAAUAGAUGUAUUAAUUGCAUCUAAUUCUUCCUAUUUCCUAAUGAUGAACAUCCAAAUGUUGAAUAUGUAUUAAUCACUACAAGAUUUGAACAUGUUUUAGAGUAGUAAGGACAAAAAGAAGAUGGAUGACGUUUGACAUUCAAUAACAGAAUUAGAAGAAGAAUAAAAGCUCAUGGUUUAGAUAGCAAAUGACCAUUUAGAACAACGAGACAUCUUGAUUUUAUUAGAAUAAAUAAAUGAUAAUAGUUAACAGAAGGAAAGCAGGAAUAUAUAUACGCAUGAAGAUGAAGAGCAUCACUGCCGUGGGAAAGUAUUCCUUGUCCAGAUGUAGAAGCAACAUAAUUAAGGGUCUAUAUCCGGUCGUGUUUAAGAUCGUUGAUAGUACCUAUGACUUAGUCUAUGGUCGUGUGCUCGUCAAAGGAAUCCAAAGAUGUUAGAAAAGGUAUAUCGCUUAGGAUGUCAAAUGUAGACAGGAGGUCUACUGUUCCCAAGUUGAUGAUCUAACGCUGCUGGAAAUUGGAGACUGUGCACUGUUCCCAGACUGAAGUCAGAAGAUAAUACGUCUGCUGGAAUUCUGAUUAUUAUUAUAUUUUCUGAUAUUUAGUUGAUGUGUUAGUUAAAAUUAAACACAGUGAAGAGUUUAUAAAUCCCUAGGGGUCGUGGUUUUUCCUUCUAUUUAGGCCUAGAAGGUUUCCACGUAAAAUCGUGUUGUCUCUUUCAUUAUUUCGCUCUAAGUUUAAGUUUUAUUUCUUGUAUCUAAUUCCGCAAAAACAGGGCAAAAACACUUAAACUUGUAACAACAACAAUUCACCCCCCCUCUUGUUGCUGUUCCCAUCUCUAACACAGUCUACACUUUGCCACCAAGCCGGCUUUGUACAGUUCCAAGGAUCCAUCAGCUCUCAGCUUGAUUUUGUAGACCCAUCUUGAACCAAUGGCUUUUUUACCUGGGAGCAAAGGAGCAAUCUCCUAUGUAUUAUUUUAUGCUAGGGCUUCAAGUUCUAUUUGCAUAACAUCUUGCCAAUUAGGAUCUUUAACAGCUUCUCUGUAUGAAGU